rnacentral:lncRNA from 10 species
GUGGAGUAGCGACGGGCACCCAGCGAAGCCAAUCAGAGAUGGAAGUAGUGCUCUGAGGGUGGGCGCCGCUUGGUACCACCCUCCUCGCCCUCGGUGUCCUGGAGAAAGGCGGAAGGAAUGCGGACCUUUUUGAAGUGACGGACGCGCCAGCCUAUCAGGGGCGAGCUCAAGAGGGCGGGGCGGAAGACUGCAGGAAUGAAAUGGAUUGACAGACCAAAUAACUAAUGAGAGGCUUGAUUGAGAACCUACCCGACUAUCAGAGGACCUGUCCGGGAAGAGAAAUGGGGCUACGUCCAGGUUGGAGGGGCAGGAAAUGCUUUGAGGUCAAGGUGGCUGCAGGAAAAAGGAUGACAUUGAAGAGAUGAGCCCAUCAUUGGCAGAGCCUGGAAAUGAAGAGGGUGUGGCUAGAGGAACCCCCUCUCCUGCAGACUGGACUCACCACCAGCUCCAGUGACAGUGGGCUCAGAGGAGAUCCUCUAAGCCUGCUCAGUACAGGACACAGGCAAACAAGGAACCUGGAGAGGGCAGCCUCUAGCCUCCCUGGCCUGGCAGCUGUAGGACCUACCUCUACAAAGCUAAAAAGUUUGUCACCUAUACCCAGCCACAGCCCCAGGGAAACAGCUGUGUCCCCAGCACCUGCCAGGAAGGGUCAAGACAAGGAAAUCACAGAUAUUUUUUCUUCUAGCGCAAGAACCCCCACCACCUCCCCAAGAGACAUCUAUAAGGAAUAUUUGGAGGGAGAUACUGGGGCAAAAAUAAAUUAACAGGCCGGGCACAGUGGCUUGCGCCUGUAAUCCCACCAGUUUCGGAGGCCGAGGCGGGCAGAUCACUUGAGGUCAGGAGUUUGAGACCAGCCUGGCCAAACCCAUCUAUACUAAAAAUACAAAAAUUAGCUGGGUGCAGUGGGAGGCGCCUGUAAUCUCAGCUACUCGGGAGGCCGAGGCAGGAGAAUCGCUUGAACCCGGGAGGUGGAGGUUGCAGUAAGCUGAGAUCGCACUACCGCGCUCCAGCCUGGGUGACAGAGUGAGACUCUUGUCUCGGAAAAAAAAAAAAAAAAAAUUAACAGCAGCUGGGGUUCAGAAAAUGGACAGAUGUGGUUUUCCUCAAAUACAUGUCCUAGAUGUAGGGUAUCCAAUUAUUACAAUUUUUAUUUUAUUUCAUAUUUAUUUAUUUAUUUUUUAGACAGAAUCUCGCUCUGUUGCCUGGGCUGGAGUGCAGUGGCACUGUAUCCGGAAUUGGGGGGUUCUUGGUCUCACUGACUUCAAGAAUGAAGCCAUGGACCCUUGCGAGAUGGGGGUUCCACCAUGUUGGCCCGGCUGGUCUCGAACUGCUGACCUCAAGUGACCUGCCUGUCUCGGCCUCACAAAUGGCUGGGAUUACAGGCACGAGACACCGUGCCUGGCCCUGGGAACAUGUUUACAUGGACUUUGUUCACUUUUUAAAACAAACUGAGGGUAACUUACUAGAUCUGUGAACUAAAGAAAGAGAAAAAAAAGAAAGAAAACAAACAAGAACAAAGAACAAAGUGUUCUGAGGUUGCUUUUAUUCCAAGAACUCUGUGAGCUCCCACCAGCACCAUGAGGGCGCUCUCG